GCUGCCGAAUUUUAAGGGACACCAUAGCUAAGGUUUCUUUGCUUUCUCAAGCUCAUAAUCAAGAAAGACGAGAGGACUACCUCAAACGAGGAAAAGAAAAGAUAGUGGAAUAAAUUGCAAAAUUACGAUAUUUUGCACCGAGUGAUAUCCAUCAACUUGGAAUUGGGACGGAGUCGGACAAUCAUCCACACUAUCAUCCGUGUUUGGGUAUUUUGCUACUGGUAUUCCAGAAAUUAUGGCAUGUAUAGACGACUUUAUGUAAUGUGGCGUCACUGUAUAUAUAUAUGUUAUGGUUCGAUCUAAA